rnacentral:rRNA from 1 species
AAGUCGUAACAAGGUUUCCUUCACCUAUUGAAGCCUUCAGCAGCGACUGUAAAGAAAUGCGUAGUUUGCUUGCAAGCAAUGCCACUCAAAUGCUGAGACAUCUGAAUCAGCAGCCUUCUAGGCUCACAGAUCAAAUUGUGGUAACCAUUCUUAUGGGCAAGAUAUGACCGGUCUUAACUAGAGUUAGUUAAGAAUCCACGUUCCGUAGGUGAACCUGCGGAAGGAUCAUUAAAGGUUUCGGGUACCCAGUGCCCAAACUUCAACCCUAUGUUUUAACUAUACAUGUUUCUUUGCCGGUUUCGGCCGGCAGAAGUUUUCUCAAACUCAUUAUUAAAUGUGUCUUCUGAAUCAAAAUUAAAUAAAUUAAAACUUUCAACAACGGAUCUCUUGGUUCUGGCAUCGAUGAAGAACGCAGCGAAAUGCGAUAAGUAAUGUGAAUUGCAGAAUUCAGUGAAUCAUCGAAUCUUUGAACGCACAUUGCGCCCUGUGGUAUUCCGCAGGNCAUGCCUGUUCGAGCGUCAUUUAACCACUCACGCCUAGCGUGGUAUUGGGGCACGNGGUCUCGCGNCCCUCAAAAUUAGUGGCGGCGCCGGUGGGCUCUAAGCGUAGUACAUACUCCCGCUAUAGAGUUUCUCCGGUGGCUCGCCAGAACCCCCAAUUUUUUACAGGUUGACCUCGGAUCAGGUAGGGAUACCCGCUGAACUUAAGCAUAUCAAUAAGCGGAGGAAAAGAAACCAACAGGGAUUACCUCAGUAACGGCGAGUGAAGCGGUAACAGCUCAAAUUUGAAAGCUGNCAACAGGCCGCGUUGUAAUUUGUAGAAGCUGCUUUGGGUGUCGGCCCGGUUUAAGUUCCUUGGAACAGGACGUCAUAGAGGGUGAGAAUCCCGUAUGUGAUCGGUGCCGUUGCCCGUGUAAAGCGCUUUCGACGAGUCGAGUUGUUUGGGAAUGCAGCUCAAAAUGGGUGGUAAAUUUCAUCUAAAGCUAAAUAUUGGCCAGAGACCGAUAGCGCACAAGUAGAGUGAUCGAAAGAUGAAAAGCACUUUGGAAAGAGAGUUAAACAGUACGUGAAAUUGUUGAAAGGGAAGCGCUUGCAACCAGACUUGCGGGCGGUCGAUCAUCCGAGGUUCUCCCCGGUGCACUCGAUCGUUCUCAGGCCAGCAUCGGUUUCCGGGGUGGGAUAAAGGCGGUGGGAAUGUGGCUCUUCGGAGUGUUAUAGCCCACCGUGCAAUGCCGCCACUGGGGACCGAGGACCGCGCUUCGGCUAGGAUGCUGGCGUAAUGGUUGUAAGCGACC